AGGGCACCACCAGGAGUGGAGCCUGCGGCUUAAUUUCACUCAACACGGGAAAACUCACCCGGCCCGGACACCGUGAGGAUUGACAGAUUGAUAGCUUUUUCAUGAUUCGGUGGUUGGUGGUGCAUGGCCGUUCUUAGUUCGUGGAUCGAUUUGUCUGGUUUAUUCCGAUAACGAGCGAGACUCCAGCCUACUAAAUAGUGCGGGCAUUGCUUCUGUGCCUCGCACUUCUUAGAGGGAUUGGCUGCGUCUAGCGGCACGAAACGGAGCAAUAACAGGUCUGUGAUGCCCUUAGAUGUCCGGGGCUGCACGCGCGCUACACUGGCAAAGGCAGCGUGCUUGUCCAUCUCCGAAAGGAGCUGGUAAACCCUUGAAAAUUUGCCGUGAUUGGGAUCGGAAAUUGCAAUUAUUUUCCGUGAACGAGGAAUUCCUAGUAAGUGCGAGUCAUCAGCUCGCGUUGAUUACGUCCCUGCCCUUUGUACACACCGCCCGUCGCUGCCUAGAACUGAGCCAUUUCGAGAA
rnacentral:rRNA from 1 species